AAUACUUAUUUGCACUCGGAAUUAUUUAAAAAAAAAAGUGUGUAAAUUAUAUAGUGAAAGUGAAAUAUAGAACACUGAAUUUCGGAUUGAAAGAGGAUUUGCUUGAAAUUCAUUCGAAAAUGCAUUACAGAACCUACCUGUAUAUAACAAUUUUUUAUGAAAAAUUUAAACUACCUGAAAACUCAAUUUUUUGUUUUGCUUCAAAUAAGUUCAUACAAUAAAUUUUUUGAGAUUUCCCAAAAACUAAAAUUUAUAAAAAGCUGUGGAUUAACUUUUACGACACAGAUUCAAGAUUUUGCUCAAAUUGUUUACAAGAGGAUGAUUUCGAAGUAGAUAUCCAAUUCAAAUUGGGAGAAAAAGAGGUCUUCUUGACCAACAGGAAUUCAAAUAUCGUCCUCGUCCCUAUAUCAUAAGGCAAUGUUGAAGGAUUUUCAGGUAUACUAUUACAAAAACUCCACCUGGAAAUUCUUAUGGGACCAAAUACUGAGGACGAGUUAUUGGAUCUCAAAUUCGACGGAGCAUUUGACGGAAUACAUUCCAUAUGUAUGAAAAAAAUUCAAUCUGGUUGAGUGUUCAGAGAAUACAAAAUAUACAUCGGUUAAUCACUCAAUUUUAGGUGAUACAAAAAACCGUUAGGUCAACAAAACUAUUAUAUUCUGUACAAGUUGCGAGAUUAUACAAAUUAUGAGUUCUGGAGGCUGUUUUCGGCGAUGAAUUUUACAAUUUCGGAAUUAAUGGGAAGCCGAACGGCAUCAAAACCUGCGGUUUCGUCAGGUGAAGUCGAAUAUUUCGAAUGUUUCUUCGCCUUUGGUAUAUACCAGUGACUCCAUGAUUCGAUAGUCUCAAAACGGAGCAAAAACUCAUUCGAAUUACACUUACCAGCGUCAAAUGAUUUAACGGCUGCUCUUGUUGUCCGGAAGGAACAAAUAUGGUGCUCAUCACAUCUACAGCUUUGCCAUGAAUCAUGUUUAAUGCAUUUUUUUUUAGAUACCUACUAUCUUAGCUAUAUGAGAUAUUAGACUCUUGUCACGUUAUCCCUGUGUGGCUCUUCAAAAACAGACGUGCGAUUACGUUGACACUUGUUGGUAGUCGGCAUCGAAGGAAAAUAAUCACCGAACCCAGCAUCCAAACGUUCUUUGAUUUUAUUGCUUAUGUCCUCCCACAAAAACAAUGGAAUCACCGAUCGAUAAUUCUCUUUUUAAAUUUUUUAAUUCCGUAAGUGGUCAAAAAUAAAACUACGACUUCGAUUCUGCUGAAAUUUUGACAGUAAUUGUACUAAAUGUACUAGAGAAUAGUAAAUUUCUCUUACUUUAAUGGCAUGGUCAUUAUUGAUUCACAUUCGUAGUGUUUGAAUGUAAGUAAUUAAUAAUAUUACAUUAAUGUUGAUGGUUUAGACAAAAUAUAUUAUAUAUAGAGGAUUAUCGAAAUUGGUUCCAGUUAUUUUCGGUCUUCCAGUAAUCUAGGUUUUGACAGAAUGACUUUUCCAUGCGUUUGAUAUUGAUACGAAAUCCCAUUGUUUAUUGCAAAAUAUGUUCUGUCUGUUGAUUUUGUUAAAAGUCUUAAAUGAACCCGUUUCAGAGUGCGUCAAACAUUUCAGUAAUUAAUUUUUUCGAGUACAAAAGGUAUAGUAAUCGUUUUUUAAUGUAAUAGUUAUUUUUUCUUUGUUUAUGGUACUCAAAUUUUACAGAUAUCCAAACUUUAAAAGUUAUUACAACUCUUGUUUAAAUAAAAAAUAAGAAACUCACUGUCGCAUAAUAUGUACAGAGAUUACCUAAAAUUAUUGUUUAUGGACCAGGCAUAAUCUAAAGAGAGUCGUAUAGCAAUUUUCUUUUAUUUAAUAAAUGGAACAGUUGUCCAUUUCGUCCAUGUCAGAAUUUUUGAUUUGCUGAAGUUUUUCACGAAAUUUCUUUGUGAUUUGUUUACGCUGAUAGUCCGCCUCUAUUUCCUGUUUGGUGCGUGGUAUUCGAAAUCGAAUACAGCAGCAGACCAUAAUUACUAAAUGGAUAUGAAAGAUAUAUUUAUUAUAUAUUUUCGAGUUCAAUAUAAGUGAAAUAUUAAAAAAAAUUCGGCGAUUUUAUUUAAGACUAGCAAAUAGUCAGUGGAGUUCUCGAAAAGGCCCGUAUUUUCCAGAAUGUCGAGACGAUGUUGUCUAAUGAAGCUAUUGACCUCAGACAUGUUUACGUUGCAAAUUUUUAGAACCUGUCUGUCAUACAACUUAUUGAAUGCCAUCAAUGCUCGAAAAUUAGGAAGAUUUUUCCCAAAUAUUUGUAUCGCUUUGAGAAUGUUUUGCACUUUACCCGUUUUUGUUUCAAGUGGUGAACGUUCGUUUAGUGCUUUAGCAAGGAUCAAAUACUUUCAUCAAUCAUGCUCGCCACGGGGCAAGAUUCCAGAACAAGCUAUACUGUGCCUAGAGGCCUCAAAAUGAUCUUUAUUUCAUUAAUUAGAUCGAUAAAUAAAUGUUUGAAUGAGAUCGAUAAAUAAAUGUUUGAAUGAGAUGA